AGAGUUUGAUCAUGGCUCAGAACGUACGCUGGCGGCACGCCUAACACAUGCAAGUCGAACGAAGUAGCAAUACUUAGUGGCAGACGGGUGAGUAACAUGUAGGUAUCUGCCCUUUGGCCUGGAAUAACACGAGGAAACUUGUGCUAAUACUGGAUAAGUCUUUACGGAGAAAGCUUUAUGCACCAUUGGAUGAGCCUGCACUUGAUUAGUUUGUUGGUGGGGUAAUGGCCUACCAAGACUGUGAUCAAUAGCUGAUUUGAGAGGAUGAUCAGCCACAUUGGGACUGAGACACGGCCCAAACUCCUACGGGAGGCAGCAGUGGGGAAUCUUGCACAAUGGAGGAAACUCUGAUGCAGCGAUGCCGCGUGAGUGAAGAACGCCUUUGGGUUGUAAAGCUCUUUCGUCGGGGAAGAAAAUGACUGUACCCGAAUAAGAAGGUCCGGCUAACUUCGUGCCAGCAGCCGCGGUAAUACGAAGGGACCUAGCGUAGUUCGGAAUUACUGGGCUUAAAGAGUUCGUAGGUGGUUGAAAAAGUUGGUGGUGAAAUCCCAGAGCUUAACUCUGGAACUGCCAUCAAAACUUUUCAGCUAGAGUAUGAUAGAGGAAAGCAGAAUUUCUAGUGUAGAGGUGAAAUUCGUAGAUAUUAGAAAGAAUACCAAUUGCGAAGGCAGCUUUCUGGAUCAUUACUGACGCUGAGGAACGAAAGCAUGGGUAGCGAAGAGGAUUAGAUACCCUCGUAGUCCAUGCCGUAAACGAUGUGUGUUAGACGUUGGAAAUUUAUUUUCAGUGUCGCAGCGAAAGCGAUAAACACACCGCCUGGGGAGUACGACCGCAAGGUUAAAACUCAAAUGAAUUGACGGGGACCCGCACAAGUAGUGGAGCAUGUGGUUUAAUUCGAAGAUACGCGCAGAACCUUACCAACACUUGACAUGUUCGUCGCGACUUUAAGAGAUUAGAGUUUUCGGUUCGGCCGGACGAAACACAGGUGCUGCAUGGCUGUCGUCAGCUCGUGUCGUGAGAUGUUGGGUUAAGUCCCGCAACGAGCGCAACCCUCACUUUUAGUUGCCAUCAUUAAG
rnacentral:rRNA from 1 species